rnacentral:lncRNA from 1 species
ACAAAUUUAUAUAGUACAAUAUCAAACGAAUAUCAGUUAUGCAGUUAGCAAAAUCAAAGGCUGUAUCUUUAGCAAAAUAAAAUAGAUCAAUAUUAAACUGAAACUGUUUUCAGCAAAGUAAUUGACAACAAAGUGUUAAAAAAUCUCUUAUGCAUUACUAGAAAUGGUCUUAAGAAAAUAAAAAUAGAUCUAUAGCAAAGGCUACACCUUUAAGUGGUUUUCAG